GAAAGCGUGGGUAGCAANCAGGAUUAGAUACCCUGGUAGUCCACGCCCUAAACGAUGUCAAUUAGCUGUUGGGCAACUUGAUUGNUUAGUAGCGUAGCUAACGCGUGAAAUUGACCGCCUGGGGAGUACGGUCGCAAGAUUAAAACUCAAAGGAAUUGACGGGGACCCGCACNANCNGUGGAUGAUGUGGAUUAAUUCGAUGCAACGCGAAGAACCUUNCNNGNUCUUGACAUGUACGGAAUCUCUNGGAGACGGGAGAGNNCNUUCGGGAGCCGUAACACAGGUNNUGCAUGGCUGUCGUCAGCUCGUGUCGUGAGAUGUUGGGUUGAGUCCCGCAACGAGCGCAACCCUUGUCAUUAGUUGCCAUCAUUAAGUUGGGCACUNUAAUGAGACUGCCGGUGACAAACCGGAGGAAGGUGGGGAUGACGNUAAGUCCUCAUGGCCCUUAUGACCAGGGCUUCACACGUCAUACAAUGGUCGGUACAGAGGAUUNCCAAGCCGCGAGGUGGAGCCAAUCUCACAAANCCGAU
rnacentral:rRNA from 1 species